rnacentral:lncRNA from 1 species
AGAGGAAAAGACAGUGAGAGAGCAAGAGCAGAUUGAGAAGCAGAAGACUGAGUCACAAAAAGAGAAAAGGACAGAAAUGGAGCACCCUGGUAUCAUAAAAUAAGCUUGAACUUGGGUUAAUUCCUCUUGGACUGAAUCGUAGCAACAUAAACCAAACUUUUCAAAAAGAUUGGAUGCAAAACUUUUACGGAAACAGGAAUUUUUAUCAACAUGAAGCAGGAUUUAAUGCAGGCUGGAGUGCAAUGGUGCAAUCUCGGCUCACUGCAACCUCCACUUCCCGGUUAAAGCAAAUUUUCCCACCUCAGCCUCCGGAGUAGCUGGACCACGGGCGUGCGCCACCAUCCCCGGCUAAUUUUUGUAUUUUUAGUACAGACGGUGUUUCACCACGUUAGCCAGACUAUUCUCGAACUACUGACCUCAAGUGAUCCAUCCGCCCGUCUCAGCCUCCCAAAAUGCUGGGAUUACAGGCCUGAGCUACCACGUCUGGCCUAUGUUUACUAAUUUUUAAUCAGAAAUACAUUCCCCUGUGUAGUGUCACUCUGGACCCUUAAAUGGAUUUGAGAACAUGGUGAGUAGUUAACUCUGAAGCUCUAAAUUUACUUGGGCUUUUAUGAAAAUAAAACCCAAAACUAGCAUUUACGUAAGAGAGUAAGCAAUAAGCUAUUUACUUAUUUGCUUUUAACCAUAGGACAAGAGAAAAAUAAUGGAAAAUUUGAGUGUGUUUUUAUUAAUUAUGUACUGGCUAAUAUUUUAAAUAAACUUGUAAUUUUGACUGAUAAUUUUAUAAUUUAUUUUGCCAAAUAUCAGGAAAUACUUUUUUCAAAAUAAAAAAAUUCAGGCAAGAAACCAUAUAGACCUUGCCUAUCCCAACAUCAAUUACUUAAGAAUAAGAUUUAUUACUUAUUCAAUGAAUAUUUUGUAAAUAUUAAUAUUUAACCAAAAUAGUCAUAUUCAUAUUAUCUGCUCACAAUCUUUUCUGUGCUCACAUUAAAGAAAAUUUCUUGCUUUUCAAGUAGAGAUGAAUUACAAUAAUUUCUGUAUGGAAAUGGUUAUCAUAUCGUGUUUUUUGCCUAUUAUAGAAAUGUAAAUAGUAUAAUAAUAGAAUAAUGCUCUUUGGGACAAAACUCUGAAACUAAAGAUAGAAAAAGCAUAAAGUACAAUAAAACAUUAAUAUUGAAGGAA